rnacentral:rRNA from 1 species
AUUGAACGCUGGCGGCAGGCCUAACACAUGCAAGUCGAACGAGUGGCGGACGGGUGAGUAAUGUCUGGGAAACUGCCUGAUGGAGGGGGAUAACUACUGGAAACGGUAGCUAAUACCGCAUACCAUCGGAUGUGCCCAGAUGGGAUUAGCUAGUAGGUGGGGUAAAGGCUCACCUAGGCGACGAUCCCUAGCGGGUCUGAGAGGAUGACCAGCCACACUGGAACUGAGACACGGUCCAGACUCCUACGGGAGGCAGCAGUGGGGAAUAUUGCACAAUGGGCGCAAGCCUGAUGCAGCCAUGCCGCGUGUAUGAAGAAGGCCUUCGCGUUGUAAAGGACUUUCAGCGAGGAGGCGUUAACCGCAGAAGAAGCCCCGGCUAACCCCGUGGCAGCAGCCGCGGUAAUUC